UAGGGAAUCUUCCACAAUGGACGCAAGUCUGAUGGAGCAACGCCGCGUGAGUGAAGAAGGUUUUCGGACCGUAAAGCUCUGUUGUUGGUGAAGAAGGAUAGAGGUAGUAACUGGCCUUUAUUUGACGGUAAUCAACCAGAAAGUCACGGCUAACUACGUGCCAGCAGCCGCGGUAAUACGUAGGUGGCAAGCGUUGUCCGGAUUUAUUGGGCGUAAAGCGAGCGCAGGCGGAAGAAUAAGUCUGAUGUGAAAGCCCUCGGCUUAACCGAGGAAUUGCAUCGGAAACUGUUUUCUUGAGUGCAGAAGAGGAGAGUAGAACUCCAUGUGUAGCGGUGGAAUGCGUAGAUAUAUGGAAGAAUACCAGUGGCGAAGGCGGCUCUCUGGUCUGCAACUGACGCUGAGGCUCGAAAGCAUGGGUAGCGAACAGGAUUAGAUACCCUGGUAGUCCAUGCCGUAAACGAUGAGUGCUAAGUGUUGGGAGGCUUCCGCCUCUCAGUGCUGCAGCUAACGCAUUAAGCACUCCGCCUGGGGGAGUACGACC
rnacentral:rRNA from 1 species